rnacentral:misc_RNA from 1 species
UUUUUUAAAACUUGAACAUGAUUUGUUUGUUAUUUUUAUGAUAUGUGACAAUGGACUGUAAUUUCAUUCAUAUCAUUGAUAAGAUUUUGUAUGAAACAUGCAUGUUCAUGUAUAAUGGAAUCUUUUGUUUUACUUUUAUAGAGAACAGUCUGUUAAUUUUAAUUGUCAACUUGAAAUCAGUACCGGUAGAUCUGAAAGAUCAAGUCUUUUCUUCUAGAAUCCAUCAUAAGAUAUAAUUUGAUCAUUGAUUGUAUUGUAUGUAUUGUAACUACACAGUUGAUGACUUUCCAUUGAACAUGUUUGUUGACCAUUAAUCAUACAUUAUACUCUGUUUCACUGUGAAUUAAAUCCAGUUUUAUGAUGUACUGUGUAGAUAAAUCAAAGACUAUAA